GGGAAAGGAAGGAUGCUUUGCUUUAGUGGGAUGAUGGCUCUUGGGCAAAGAGAGUGUGAGCAGGGUUGGACUGAGUGCAUGAGAGUGGGAGGAUGGGGUGGCCAGCGCUCCAGCCCGCCAGCCCUGCCUCCUAGGGUGGAGCCAUAUUGGACACCUGGGUCUUCAUCCCAUGGACCACCAAAGCCAGAAACAGGUCCAGCACAUAAGGGACAGGAGGCAAUUACAUACCUAGUCUGGCUGUCUCUUCUCAUUCAAAACCCUCUUCCCUUGAUUCUUUGGAUAAAGACUCUAGGUUUCCCACCCAAUAUUCAAUCUGCCUUCUUCCUUACUAACAGAGCGCUGAUUUUUAUCCUGAGGGGCAAGGUGUCAAGUCAAAAGAUGCAGAUUGCUGGCCUCCCUGGCAAGUGGCUGUGGCCAAUGGGAUAAGAACAGAGGUCAUCAGGCAGGGCUCGCAGGCAGGCCCUUCAACAGGCAACUCAGCCUUGGAGUGCAUCCCCUGGGCUCUUUCUCCUUCUUACUGCUGAAUCUGUACACAUCUACUUGUAUUUUGAGGCAAAUUUGGUGACAGAAUGACAUGCUUGAGAUAAUAAAGCAGACAUUUGGGAGGACACUAGAUAGAUGACUGCUCUAUCUGCCUAUUUUGGAACUUCUGCCUCAGAUGCCACUUGUUUGAAUUUUCUGUACUUGCAGGGAGCUCUUCUAAGUGGUUUACCUUUUCAUCCAUGCUGCUAGCAUUAGGUUGGCCAAGGAAGUCUAUUUGCUCUAACAAACAACUUUUAAAUCAUGGUAGCAUGACAGUAGAUGUCUGUCACUUGCACCAAUAGUGAUGGAGAAGUAAUGGGUUGGCUGCAACUUUCUGGGACCCAGGGGGCCCUUAUUCCCUUCUGUCCUUCUCCCCUGAACUACAUGCCCUCCUCCACAAUCUUUUUCUGCAGGCAGCGGAGGGAGCAGUGAGCAAGAAGAGCACAUGGGAGCUUUUGGAUGGGCCAGCCCCUGAUGAGGUACACUGUGCUAGAAUUCAGUGACAGGGCCACAGAGGGAGCGAGGAGGUGCAGUCUGGUUACAUGCUCAGAAGGGCAAGGAAGUGAGUCUUGGUGAGUAUGUCAGUGUUUACCAAACACAUUCAAAGAAGCAGCAAAGGAACGAGAGAAAGGGAAAUAAGAAAAGGCAAAGGAGAGGGAGGGGAAAGAAAGAAAAGGAAGAAGGGAGGGAGGAAAGAAGAAGCAAAGAAAGAAGAAAAUCAGUAAACGCUCUGUUGUUCUCUAGAGGCAAUGAAAGCAUGUUUCCUGAGACCCAAUGACACCAACGAGUCUGGAUCCAAUGCCAUGGAUUCCAGAGUGAUUUACCUGUUACCUGGUCCUCCCUUCUCCCAGGAGGGUUUGCCCCGUAGCUGCCAUGAAGCCAUGUGGAAUCACUGCC
rnacentral:lncRNA from 1 species